rnacentral:lncRNA from 1 species
CUGACAACUUACCACACAAGGACAUCCAUAGUAACAGUGAUUCAUUCUUCCUGGCUCUCUGGUGAACUUGCUGGGCAGGAAGCAUCAGUAUGAGUAACAGGCAGUAUUUAUGUUGCUCUUAACCAAUGGCAAGAUUUCUGGCUACCCAGG